rnacentral:rRNA from 1 species
GACGAACGCUGGCGGCGUGCUUAACACAUGCAAGUCGAACGGAAAGGCCCUGCUUUUGUGGGGUGCUCGAGUGGCGAACGGGUGGGUAACACGUGAGUAACCUGCCCUUGACUUUGGGAUAACUUCAGGAAACUGGGGCUAAUACCGGAUAGGAGCUCCUGCUGCAUGGUGGGGGUUGGAAAGUUUCGGCGGUUGGGGAUGGACUCGCGGCUUAUCAGCUUGUUGGUGGGGUAGUGGCUUACCAAGGCUUUGACGGGUAGCCGGCCUGAGAGGGUGACCGGCCACAGUGGGACUGAGAUACGGCCGAGACUCCUACGGGAGGCAGAAGUGGGGAAUAUUGCACAAUGGGCGGAAGCCUGAUGCAGCAACGCCGCGUGCGGGAUGACGGCCUUCGGGUUGUAAACCGCUUUCGCCUGUGACGAAGCGUGAGUGACGGUAAUGGGUAAAGAAGCACCGGCUAACUACGUG